GUUUGAUCCUGGCUCAGAUUGAACGCUGGCGGCAUGCUUUACACAUGCAAGUCGAACGGCAGCACANANANCUUCGGUUUGGUGGCGAGUGGCGAACGGGUGAGUAAUGCAUCGGAACGUGUCCUAAAGUGGGGGAUAACGCAUCGAAAGAUGCGCUAAUACCGCAUAAUCUCUGAGGAGAAAAGUGGGGGAUCGAAAGACCUCAUGCUUUUGGAGCGGCCGAUGUCUGAUUAGCUAGUUGGUAGGGUAACGGCCUACCAAGGCGACGAUCAGUAGUUGGUCUGAGAGGAUGGCCAGCCACACUGGGACUGAGACACGGCCCAGACUCCUACGGGAGGCAGCAG
rnacentral:rRNA from 1 species